ACAGAGGAGGCUGGCGGGCUGCAGUUCACUAGGUCACAAAGAGUCUACAGGACUUAGCAACUGAACGACAAUAACAGAGCUGCGUUGAAGCCUGAAGCAAAGGCUGGCGAAAAUCUGCAGGGGUAUUUAUUUAAGAGAAUCUCUCCUACAGAAAGCAAGAGCCUUUCAAGGUCUGAUGCUCAUGUCAGGAAAGCCAGCCCGUGUUGCAUUUGAGUGCAAUGUAAGUGUCUCUAUGCCCAAAUUAUAAAUCACAGAAGUUGGGAGCCGUUUUCCUCCCACUCACCCAUCACUGCCACAGCACCCUAACCCCAUGCCACGAGCCCCAAGCCCACCGUUUGGGACAUCCAGCUGCCCAACAGGAGUUACAAGUCACCAGUCAGUAUAUCUAGCUGCAUUCAAAGCUAAGGUUUCUUCUUUGUUUUUAAUCCUCUGCUAACUGCCCGCAGGAACAGAUGUUGUUAUUCUCAGCCUGGCAUGUUACUGGAGUGACUUAACCGCCUCUCCCGCUGCCAGCUCGUUGUGUUUAGGGUUGGAAGGCACUGCGUUGUUUCCUUUUCUCCUUUUGAGUAAAACAAUGUGCCAGAAGCCGUAUGGAAAUCAGAGGCUGCAAGCCUUUCCAGGCAGUCUUUGUGGGCGCAGAGAAGUCUCUCCUGAGAGCAGGGCUUCCUCUCCUGGGUGUAGCCUGACCCGCCGUGUCUAAAUGACAGUGACGCGGGCUCACAACAGCUGGAAGAGACAGUUUCCUGCUCCGCGCCAGCCUGAGGACCAGAUCCCAGCCUCUGGAUGUCAGAUGAGAAAACGGAGGUCUAGAGAAGUGAGUCGACCACCUGGGGCAGAGUCUUGGUUCCCCUUCAAGAGAUAUGCAUAACAGUACCUCUGAGCUCUUCUGCAGAAUGAAGCCCCAACUAAUGGAAGAUGUGAACGGCCAGAUGAAGCGCUCUUCAUUCCAGAGAGAGGUUUGAUAACUUUGAGAACCACAGUUCAUCAGGAGAUGGCGUGAGGCCAGAUCAAAGGCUGCAGGCCCUGCAUCCACCCUGAUCCUCAUCAUAACUGCGCCCUUGAACCACUGCUAGAAAUCAAUCACAAAUCCCCCCAGGUGAGGACACACAGCUUUGAGGGGGAUGAGCCCACUGUGUCCCCUUUGCCUGGCAAAGCAAUACAGCUAUUCUCCCCUACUCUACCUAAAACUCUGUCUCCAAGAUUCACUUCAGCACCGGUGCACAGAGACCAAGUUUUCGGCAUCAAAUUCCCAGAUGGAAAAAUGUGACAUACACAUAAAAUUAAG